UUAUGUCAUAUAUAUGUUAUGUUUAACAAUUAUUUUUAUUGUGAAAGAUUUUCAGGUGAAAGGUUGCGGCUGCUAUACCGUUGGAAAAUUAAGGUCACAUAUACUUUUCUAAAAUUAAUAAAAUUUUAUCCCUCAAGUCCCAAUUUUUAUAGAAUCAACAAAAUAAUAUGAUAAAGAAAGCUUACCUCUGUGUAUGGCACAUCAAACUCACUUUCAGUAUCCCUAAUUAAAGAAUACAUUAACGUAAAUUACCGAGAGAGAAAUCACACGGUCCCGCGUUUUGCGACAAUUUUGUAUAUGGCGGAUUGGAGGGAGAUAAAGAGGAGGAAUGCGUACGCAGCGCUAACUAUGUCUCUAGAUGUAGACGUGGAACUAUUUAGCCACAUGCGCUAGAUAAAUACGCAGUGAAAGAGGUUGCGCUGCUAUAUACCGUGAAAAAUAAAGGACACAUUUUCCAAAAUCAAUAAAAUUGUACCCUUCAAGUCCCAGUUUUUACAGAAUCAACGUAAUAAUAUGAUAAAGAAAGCUUACCUCUGUGUAUGGCACAUCAAACCCACUUUCAGUAUCACUAAUUAAAGAAUAAAUUAACGUAAAUUACGGAGAGAGAAAUCACACACGAUCCCGCGUUUUGCGACAAUUUUGUAUAUGGCGGAUUGGAGGGAGAUAAAGAGGAGGAAUGCGUACGCAGCGCUAACUAUGUCUCUAGAUGUAGACGUGGAACUAUUUAGCCACAUCCGCUAGAUAAAUACGCAGUGAAAGAGGUUGCGCUGCUAUAUACCGUGAAAAAUAAAGGACAUUUUCCAAAAUCAAUAAAAUUGUACCCUUAAAGUCCCAGUUUUUACAGAAUCAACGUAAUAAUAUGAUAAAGAAAGCUUACCUCUGUGUAUGGCACAUCAAACCCACUUUCAGUAUCCUAAUUAAAGAAUAAAUUAACGUAAAUUACCGAGAGAGCAAUCACACACGGUCCCGCGUUUUGCGACAAUUUUGUAUAUGGCGGAUUGGAGGGAAAUAAAGAGGAGAAAUGCGUACGCAGCGCUAACUAUGUCUCUAGAUGUAGACGUGGAACUAUUUAGCCAUAUCCGCUAGAUAAAUACGCAGUAGGUAUUUGGUUUUGUUCCAUGCUACAUUCACAAAAAAAAGGUUCAGCUUUUUUUAA